AGACGGAGGUGGCAAACGUUGCUCGGAAUCACUGGGCUUAAAGGGCGUGUAGGCGGCCGAUUAAGUCGGGUGUGAAAUCCCUCGGCUCAACCGAGGAACUGCAUUCGAUACUGGUCGGCUAGAGUGCGAGAGGGGCAAGUGGAACUCCAGGUGUAGCGGUGAAAUGCGUAGAUAUCUGGAGGAACGCCGGUGGCGAAAGCGACUUGCUGGCUCGCAACUGACGCUGAGGCGCGAAAGCUAGGGUAGCGAACGGGAUUAGAAACCCGGGUAGUCC
rnacentral:rRNA from 1 species